AUUCAUCAGCGACUAACCCGCGAGUAUACCGCAUACCCACAGGUUUAAUUGUUGAUGAAUCCGGC
rnacentral:pre_miRNA from 1 species